rnacentral:lncRNA from 10 species
AUGGAGACUAGCUCCACAGAAAGGAUAGGGAGUAUAGUUUCAUUCUGCCUGCAUCAUUCCAUCCUCCAUGCAACAUGGCUUAUGCCAAAAAGAUUCUUCUUGGCCCAGAAGUUUUCCUCAUGGAGAAAAAGUACAGCAAGUGACCUACCAGCUACCCUAUCUUUUCAGGUCACUUCUCUAAUGACCUGCUUCAGCUUCACUGCACCCAGAUUGCUGGGAAGAUCAGCAUGCUCAGUAUAUCUGGGAUGUCUGGAGACAGCUGGAACAAAGAAGAGCUGCAGGAGCUGUGAGUGUCAGUCACAACGUGGGUACCACUCUGGUCCUCAGUGGCCUGCUCUUCAAAGGACCCCAGCAGCCUUUACUGCCGAGGACCUCAGUAACCCUCAUGGUCACCAGAGAAUCCUCACUGCUUCCACCAAUGAGAAUCCUAUCAUGUCUGCUUCAAACACCAGAGCCACCACUAUGGUCUGCAAAGUACCAGCCUUAAGCCAGCAUAAGGUAUAAAAUGAAUGAGCCAAGACUCUGCCUGUGACAUGUUACUGUACACCUCAAGAAGAACCCUGGCAGUAUGUUAAAAAGUAAAAUAUUUUAAUGCAAUUUAGUUUAGACUGUGUUUCUUUCAUUCUGCCUUCCUUUCUAUCACANGUCCCUUCACGUAGGGUGGAUCAGGUCCAUUUGGGAUUCAGGUAAGGGGAGGUAGAGACAGUGAUACCAUUGGUUUGUGUUCAGGGGGAUAUGACUGGGUGUGUCACAGUCAUGUUCAUGUAUAGUUCAGUUGUCAUCUAUUUCAGCAUUUCCUUUAGCACACAGCACUGGAUAUAUAUGAGUUGUAAAGAAACACAUUUUGAAAUGUACAGAAGCAGAAGCACGUCAUUGGAAAAUGUGUCUCAUCAUUGGAUGUGUAAAACUGAAGUGCAAGAUUUAGCUCUCACUGAGCUUGUUGAAACAGAGAACCUUUCCUUUAAAACCGGACUAAACAAAACAGUAAAUAAAAUUAUAAGCACACCACAUUUUACUUUGUAUGGAGAUCAUGUAAAACACAUUUUAUUGGAGUUCUCAGGGUUUUAGGAUGCAAAUGUGUGGCAGCUCUACAAAUAGCAAGACCGUCUAUAUGUGCAGUCAUAAGCUUUAUGUAUCUCAACAUAUCAGAUCCUAGUGGAUCUGAUGCAGCUUAGUCUGCUGAAUUCUAAUGGUUCAAUAUGAAACUGCAGGAAAAAAUUGCCCCCAGCAUAGCAAAAUGGCCCACCAGUCUUACAUAUUUCAUCAUUAAGUCAAUAUAUGCUAAGAAUGACUUUAUUACACAAAUAUGUAGCUCAACCUCAAAUAGUGACAAUUUAAUCUGACAGCACUGUUAAAAAAUAAUUUUCAAAAGAAAUGUAAAAUCGUGACUUCAUGCAGAUGGAAAAAUGAAUCCGUGUUAAGGAUUUUAUUUAACUCAUUAAUUAGGAAACUGGGAAGAUGUUUAAGUAGCUGAAAGGGAAAUCCAGAAAACAUAUUUAAAGAUCAGGAAUAUGGAAAUGAAUGUGCAAAUGGAAAUAAAACUCUUCAGUCACAAUGGGGGAGAGAUGCUUUCUGUGUCUACAGACAAGAAUUUGAUUAUUGCUAUCAAUUAUUUAUAGCCUACAGAGCUAUAAAAUAUCAGAAUCAGAAUAAGGUAACUCAGAAGGUGUGCUCUAGACAGGGGUGGACAAACCUUUUCUGUAAAGAGCUACGUAGUAAAUAUUUUAGACCUUGUGGGCCAUAUUGUCUUUGCCAUAAUUACUCAACUCAGCUACUGUGGAGCUGAAGCAACCAUAAAUAAUAUGGAAAUACAUUGUAGCGACUAUGUUCAAAUACCAUUUUAUUUACAAAAACAGAUGAUGGACCGGAUGUGGCCAGAGGCUGUGGUUUGCCAACUUCUGCUCUAGACAAUGUGCGGUGGUUCAUUGAUGCAUGUCUUUCCUCUUAUACUCUAAGUUCUAGGCUGAAGAAUUCCU